rnacentral:rRNA from 1 species
AUUGAACGCUGGCUGCAGGCCUAACACAUGCCAGUCGGGCGGAGCGGCGGACGGGUGAGUAAUGCCUAGGAAUCUGCCUGGUAGUGGGGGCUAACGUCCGGCAACGGUCGCUAAUACCGCAUCCUAUCAUAUGUGCCUAGGUGGGAUUAGCUAGUUGGUGGGGUAAAGGCCUACCAAGGCGACGAUCCGUAACUGGUCUGAGAGGAUGAUCAGUCACACUGGAACUGAGACACGGUCCAGACUCCUACGGGAGGCAGCAGUGGGGAAUAUUGGACAAUGGGCGAAAGCCUGAUCCAGCCAUGCCGCGUGUGUGAAGAAGGUCUUCGGAUUGUAAAGCACUUUAAGUUGGGAGGCGUUACCAACAGAAUAAGCACCGGCUAACUUCGUGCCAGCCGCCGCGGUAAUUC